GUCCCAGUAGUACAAUGGAUAGCGCGUUGGACUUCUAAUCCAAAGGUCAUGGGUUCAAAUCCUACCUGGGGUG